CUGGGCUGCUGGCACAUGCUGAUGCUGCACUUGCACCCACUGGCUUUGGUCAUGAGCAGUUAGUGAGAGAUGAUGCCCUGAUGUAAAUCCUGUUUCACUGGUGGGAUGAUUUAUAGAAAAUAAACAGGAUCUUGAGCUGUCUUUUAGCUAACAUGGUAAAUUUUUACAUCCAGUAGUGUCCUUUGCCUCUGUACCCAGUGGCUGUCUGACCCAGUAUCUAACUCUUGAUUAAUGGAAACAUAUUUUUUAAAGUGAGGACUUUGGAAGUUUGGCUCUUGAUGAGCUUUUACAUUACCAGGCUAACAGCCAUGAAACAAAGCUGAAGAUUUCAGCAGUGUGGCACUUCAGGACUGACUCGUUGGCAGCUUCUUGCUGCUGUACAGGAGAUUAAGAAGAGCAAGGCAAGAGCUGGGAUGUGCACAAAAUGGCUGUUGGCUCUGCAGGCACUGAUGGACCUGCAAGGAUGAACUGCUUGGCCUCUGGCUGCUUGACAAGCUUCAGCCAUCCAAAGCCCCAGCUCUUCCCUCUGUUCUGCUGCAGCUUCAUAGACCCUGUAGCUGUUCAGUGGCUCUGUAAGUUACAGGGGAUGAAUAUGGACUUGUCUCCUAAAGAAGCUGAGAGCUAUGCUUGAGAGGAUCAUGAGCUUCAGCUUCCUCAGGACCGGGAGAGUCCUUUGAAGCUUCCACCUCACAGGUUCAUGUGGACAUUUGCCUGGGGCAGCCCUUAGGAAGUGAAUAUCCCUGAGCUUCCUUGGUCUUGCUGGAUGUGCUUGAAGGAAGGUGUCACAGCCUUAGUGCUUUGGAUAGUCAUUGUGGAAGCAUAAUAACGGGAACAUGUAACGGCACUAUUGAAGUCGAUAAGAAUUUUAUCAGAAGCAGAGCAAUUCCAAGCUCAUUUCCCUCCCGGUCAAAGGCAGCAGGUUGUGCCCAUUUCAUCGCUGUUUGGCAGAAAGAUUAAAGUAUCUCUGUCCGGGUUUGAGCAUUAACUUAGAGCUGAUCUUGCCUCUGGCAACCAAGAGCAGUUUCAAUGCGCAUGUUUUGAUAUACAUCCUGACUGCCUGCUUUACAAGUCAUGGUGUCUGAAGUCUUCCUAGGCUGCUAAUUGGUUCUUGGUGCCAGAUUGUCACUGGAAUCUGGUGUAUCAUCCAAGAGUCCCUCAUUUCUUGCUCACUCAGUGUCUACAGAAACCUGUGAAGCCAAAGGAGUCUCCUCAGGCAGUGAUCAUCAGCAGGUCUGCUUCUGUUACAGCUAUUUCUGUACCUCUGUUGGGCUCCUCCCCAUGGCACAGGUAUGCCUGGAGCUAGAGAAGUAGAGAGAAGCUACUAGUUUGGAUGGCUAAGACUUUGAGCAAGCAUUGCCACUGAAAGGAGUGGCCCUUUCUUUCUUGUACCUACACUGGCAUAGGUGUUUUUGGCUCCUUGUUCCUUCCUCUGUUCUCUCCCUCCUUGGGACUGUGUUAAGCGUCUGUGGGCCAUCAGCACACAGUGACCUGUACGGGGGAAGUCAUCAGCAGGGCUUUUGGAUGGCUGAUAUUUCAGUUGGGUCAGUUUUACAAACAGAUUUACUGCAUGACCGCAUGAAAGCUUUCUCUGAAGAAGUACAGUGAGAGAAAUGGGUGCUGGCUUAACCCAUGUCACUGACGUGCAGUUUAAGGCUGUGGUUUUCUGAUAGAGUGGGUCUAACUGCAGGCUGCUACUGCCCUGCUCUUAUCACGUCCCUUGCACUUUGCACUGGUGUUCGUCUGGGAACAGAAGUUCAGGGAACUAAAGCAACUGAAGCCAAAUAAGAAAAAAUUAACUUUCUAAACAGCUCAGCAUGAGGGCAGACUAGUGCCAGCACUGGGGUUAGGGAGGCUGCAGAACCAUAUGGUCAAGGAUGGAGAAACAGUGGCAGCAGCCACUGCUGGGUUUGCUCGCCCACCCUCGCAGUGCUUAAUUUGCCUAAACUCAACAUGGGCCAAGAAUUUGCUGGAUUCCCAUUAAGAAAUUUCAGACUCCAGCAGAAGACUGACUAUAAAAAUCAUGUUGAGUUUAAAAGCCCAGUGCACAUGUUGUUAUGAGAUAGGAACAGAAACUCUGCAAUUUGCCUGCAUUAUUUCCCUUUCAAGGUUUUUACCUUUCCUUCUGCAGUCUUGUCAGGUUAUUGUGCAUCAAUGGAGACAAAUGUUGAUAUUUCAUACGUUUUGAAAUUGUACUAUGAAAGUUAUACGACCAGCACACCACAGUGCUGCCAAUGUGCCAGCACUAGUUCAGAAUGUGCCCCUCGCCUUAAUUAUCAGCCCUGUAAUUUUACAGUCUUCCUAACAGUGCCUCCAUCCAGUAAGUGCAUUCGGAUCUCAAAGGUGCAUUUACGGGUAAUUAAAAAAUAUGCCUGAUUGGGUUCGCUAAUUCAGAGCAAAUAUAGAAGCUGGCUUACAUAUAACAAGGCCAUAAUUCCCCAUUUCCUUGCAAUUGUGUGGGUGAUUACAUGGGCCACCACAGCUGUGCUACAGGGAUUUGCAGGCAGAUGGGAGUUUUCUGGUUUCUGUGGAGAACCAGGGGACUGUCGGUUGUGCUGUGGGUAUUACAGUGGUGUUGGGCCCAUGUGUCUGUCUGCUGCUGCUGCAGAAAAUCUCGGUUGGGAUGCAGUUUGGGUGCAGGCUGUUUGGGUGAGGGUGCCUCUGGUGUAUUUAAGGCAGCAAACACAAAGAUUCUCACUUGAAGAUUUAAAUGAAUGGAAAACUUGGAACUAAAUGACCAGUCAGAGCAAAAACCAACACCACCUGAGGGAUGGUGAUAGCAAAGGUGGGAGCUUGAAAGUGAAGAUAAGCACAGUAACACUGUGUUUGAAGGGACAGAAGAAGGGGAGGCAGUGGAAGGAAUAAG